UACGGGGGGGGGCAAGCGUUGUUCGGAAUUACUGGGCGUAAAGGGCGCGUAGGCGGUCAGCACAAGUCAGUUGUGAAAUCUCCGGGCUUAACUCGGAAAGGUCAACUGAUACUGUGCGACUAGAGUGCAGAAGGGGCAACUGGAAUUCUCGGUGUAGCGGUGAAAUGCGUAGAUAUCGAGAGGACACCAGAGGCGAAGGCGGCGACCUGGACGAGUACUG
rnacentral:rRNA from 1 species